rnacentral:misc_RNA from 1 species
GAUGAAGAACGUAGCGAAAUGCGAUAAGUAAUGUGAAUUGCAGAAUUCAGUGAAUCAUCGAAUCUUUGAACGCACAUUGCGCCCGCCAGUAUUCUGGCGGGCAUGCCUGUCUGAGCGUCAUUUCAACCCUCAUGCCCCUAGGGCGUGGUGUUGGGGAUCGGCCAAAGCCCGCGAGGGACGGCCGGCCCCUAAAUCUAGUGGCGGACCCGUCGUGGCCUCCUCUGCGAAGUAGUGAUAUUCCGCAUCGGAGAGCGAUGAGCCCCUGCCGUUAAACCCCCAACUUUCCAAGGUUGACCUCAGAUCAGGUAGGAAUACCCGCUGAACUUAAGCAUAUCAAUAAUCGGAGGA